rnacentral:rRNA from 1 species
AGUGAACGCUGGCGGUAGGCCUAACACAUGCAAGUCGAACGGCAGCACAGUAAGAGCUUGCUCUUACGGGUGGCGAGUGGCGGACGGGUGAGGAAUACAUCGGAAUCUACUUUUUCGUGGGGGAUAACGUAGGGAAACUUACGCUAAUACCGCAUACGACCUACGGGUGAAAGCAGGGGAUCUUCGGACCUUGCGCGAUUGAAUGAGCCGAUGUCGGAUUAGCUAGUUGGCGGGGUAAAGGCCCACCAAGGCGACGAUCCGUAGCUGGUCUGAGAGGAUGAUCAGCCACACUGGAACUGAGACACGGUCCAGACUCCUACGGGAGGCAGCAGUGGGGAAUAGUGGACAAUGGGCGCAAGCCUGAUCCAGCCAUACCGCGUGGGUGAAGAAGGCCUUCGGGUUGUAAAGCCCUUUUGUUGGGGAAGAAAAGCAGCAGGUUAAUACCCCGCUGUUCUGACGGUACCCAAAGAAUAAGCACCGGCUAACUUCGUG